GACGAACGCUGGCGGCGUGCCUAAUACAUGCAAGUCGAACGAAGCUGUUUUAACUGGUGCUUGCACCGACUUAAACAACUGAGUGGCGAACGGGUGAGUAACACGUGGGUAACCUGCCCCAAAGCGGGGGAUAACAUUUGGAAACAGAUGCUAAUACCGCAUAACCACAGAAACCACAUGGUUUCUGUGUCAAAGAUGGUUUCGGCUAUCACUUUGGGAUGGACCCGCGGCGUAUUAGCUAGUUGGUAAGGUAAUGGCUUACCAAGGCAAUGAUACGUAGCCGAACUGAGAGGGUGAUCGGACACAUUGGGACUGAGACACGGCCCAAACUCCUACGGGAGGCAGCAGUAGGGAAUCUUCCACAAUGGACGAAAGUCUGAUGGAGCAACGCCGCGUGAGUGAAGAAGGUUUUCGGAUCGUAAAACUCUGUUGUCAGAGAAGAACGUGUGCGAGAGUACUGCUCGUGCAGUGACGGUAUCUGGCCAGAAAGCCACGGCUAACUACGUGCCAGCCGCCGCAGUAA
rnacentral:rRNA from 1 species